AUUGAACGCUGGCGGAAUGCUUUACACAUGCAAGUCGAGCGGCAGCACGGGGGUAACCCUGGUGGCGAGCGGCGAACGGGUGAGUAACACAUCGGAACAUGCCCAGUCGUGGGGGGAUAACACUUCGAAAGAAGUGCUAAUACCGCAUACGUCCUGAGGGAGAAAGCGGGGGAUCGCAAGACCUCGCGCGAUUGGAGUGGCCGAUGUCAGAUUAGCUAGUUGGUGGGGUAAAGGCCUACCAAGGCAACGAUCUGUAGCUGGUCUGAGAGGAUGAUCAGCCACACUGGGACUGAGACACGGCCCAGACUCCUACGGGAGGCAGCAGUGGGGAAUUUUGGACAAUGGGGGCAACCCUGAUCCAGCCAUUCCGCGUGAGUGAAGAAGGCCU
rnacentral:rRNA from 1 species